rnacentral:rRNA from 1 species
AAGUGGCUGAUACCAUGCUUCCAGGAAAAGUCUCUAAGCUUCAGUUACACAGGAAUCGUACCCGAAACCGACACAGGUGGUCAGGUCGAGUAGACCAAAGCGCUUGAGAGAACUCUGCUGAAGGAACUAGGCAAAAUGGUACCGUAACUUCGGGAGAAGGUACGCUGCUGACGGUGAUGGGACUUGCUCCCUGAGCGGUUGGCAGCCGCAGAAACCAGGCCGCUGCAACUGUUUAUUAAAAACAUAGCACUCUGCAAACACGAAAGUGGACGUAUAGGGUGUGAUGCCUGCCCGGUGCUGGAAGGUUAAUUGAUGGGGUUAGCGUAAGCGAAGCUCUUGAUCGAAGCCCCAGUAAACGGCGGCCGUAACUAUAACGGUCCUAAGGUAGCGAAAUUCCUUGUCGGGUAAGUUCCGACCUGCACGAAUGGCAUAAUGAUGGCGGCGCUGUCUCCAGCAGAGGCUCAGUGAAAUCGAAAUCGCUGUGAAGAUGCAGUGUACCCGCGGCUAGACGGAAAGACCCCGUGAACCUUUACUGCAGCUUGACAUUGAACUUUGACCUUACUUGUGUAGGAUAGGUGGGAGGCUUUGAAGUUGGAACGCUAGUUCCAAUGGAGCCGUCCUUGAAAUACCACCCUGGUAAUGUUGAGGUUCUAACUCUGCCCCGUAAUCCGGGGCGAGGACCAUGUCUGGUGGGUAGUUUGACUGGGGCGGUCUCCUCCUAAAGAGUAACGGAGGAGUACGAAGGUGCGCUCAGCGUGGUCGGAAAUCACGCGUAGAGUAUAAAGGCAAAAGCGCGCUUAACUGCGAGACCCACAAGUCGAGCAGGUACGAAAGUAGGUCUUAGUGAUCCGGUGGUUCUGUAUGGAAGGGCCAUCGCUCAACGGAUAAAAGGUACUCUGGGGAUAACAGGCUGAUACCGCCCAAGAGUUCAUAUCGACGGCGGUGUUUGGCACCUCGAUGUCGGCUCAUCUCAUCCUGGGGCUGAAGCAGGUCCCAAGGGUAUGGCUGUUCGCCAUUUAAAGAGGUACGCGAGCUGGGUUUAGAACGUCGUGAGACAGUUCGGUCCCUAUCUACCGUGGGCGCUGGAAAUUUGAGAGGAUCUGCUCCUAGUACGAGAGGACCAGAGUGGACGAACCUCUGGUGUACCGGUUGUCACGCCAGUGGCAUCGCCGGGUAGCUAUGUUCGGAAGGGAUAACCGCUGAAAGCAUCUAAGCGGGAAGCCUACCUCAAGAUAAGAUUUCCCUAAGACUAUAUGUCUUCUAAAGAGCCGUUCGAGACUAGGACGUUGAUAGGUUGGGUGUGGAAGCACGGUGACGUGUGAAGCUGACCAAUACUAAUUGCUCGUGAGGCUUGACU